UGAGAUGAAGAAGACUUUACUACCCCGAACCAUCGUGUGGGCCUUUGCCAAUUUUGGUAAAGGGGACGUAAUUCUGAUUUA
rnacentral:snoRNA from 2 species